rnacentral:rRNA from 1 species
AACGAACGCUGGCGGCAUGCCUAACACAUGCAAGUCGAACGAGACCUCCGGGUGUAGGGGCGCACGGGGGCGUAAGGCGAGGGAACCUGCCCCUAGGUUCGGAAUAACUCUCCGAAAGGGGUGCUAAUACCGGAUAAUGUCUUCUGACGAAAGAUUUAUCGCCUUUGGCUGGGCCCGCGUUGGAUUAGCUGGUUGGUAGGGUAAAAGACUCCCAAGGCGACGAUCCAUAGCUGGUCAGGGAGGAUGAUCAGCCACACCGGGACUGAGACCCGGCCCAGACUCCUCCGGGAGGCGGGAGUGGUGAAUAUUGCACCAUGGGCGGAAGCCUGAUCCAGCUCUGCCGCGUGAGUGAUGAAGGCCUUAGGGUUGUAAAGUUCUUUUACCCGGGAUGAUAAUGACAGUACCGGGAGAAUAAGCGCCGGCUAACUCCGUG